GCGCCACCUUAGCCCCCCACGCCCACUCUCUCUUAUUUUGUGUAACAAAAUCUUCUCUCCCAGGCCUUCACACAUGCCCAAAGCUUUUCACUCUUUCUCUCUUGCAUGGAAUGUGGUUGUGGACCAAGUCAAAGUAGGAAUUAGUUUGGAUAUCAAAUUCUAUGAGAUAGAAUUUUAGAAAACCAAAACUCUUUCCUUAUGGCACUAAUUUUAUCCAAAUUUUUUCUAAAAUUUUCAUAGAUUCUAUGACA
rnacentral:lncRNA from 1 species